rnacentral:rRNA from 1 species
GCCUAACACAUGCAAGUCGAACGAAGUGCUUCGGCACUUAGUGGCGGACGGGUGAGCAACGCGUGAGAAUCUAGCUUCAGAGGGGGACAACAGCGGGAAACUGCUGCUAAUACCCCAUAUGCCGCCAGGUGAAACGGUAAUUCCGCCUGAAGAUGAGCUCGCGUCGGAUUAGCUAGUUGGUAGAGUAAGAGCCUACCAAGGCAACGAUCCGUAGCUGGUCUGAGAGGAUGAGCAGCCACACUGGGACUGAGACACGGCCCAGACUCCUACGGGAGGCAGCAGUGGGGAAUUUUCCGCAAUGGGCGAAAGCCCUGACGGAGCAAGACCGCGUGGGGGAGGAAGGCCCUUGGGUUGUAAACCCCUUUUAUCAGGGAAGAAGCCAGUGACGGUACCUGAUGAAUCAGCCUCGGCUAACUCCGUGCCAGCCGCCGC